rnacentral:rRNA from 1 species
AUUGAACGCUGGCGGCAGGCCUAACACAUGCAAGUCGAGCGGAUGACGGGAGCUUGCUCCUUGAUUCAGCGGCGGACGGGUGAGUAAUGCCUAGGAAUCUGCCUGGUAGUGGGGGACAACGUUUCGAAAGGAACGCUAAUACCGCAUACGUCCUACGGGAGAAAGCAGGGGACCUUCGGGCCUUGCGCUAUCAGAUGAGCCUAGGUCGGAUUAGCUAGUUGGUGGGGUAAUGGCUCACCAAGGCGACGAUCCGUAACUGGUCUGAGAGGAUGAUAAGUCACACUGGAACUGAGACACGGUCCAGACUCCUACGGGAGGCAGCAGUGGGGAAUAUUGGACAAUGGGCGAAAGCCUGAUCCAGCCAUGCCGCGUGUGUGAAGAAGGUCUUCGGAUUGUAAAGCACUUUAAGUUGGGAGGAAGGGCAGUAAGUUAAUACCUUGCUGUUUUGACGUUACCGACAGAAUAAGCGCCGGCUAACUCUGUGCCAGCCGCCGCCGUAACAC